rnacentral:lncRNA from 1 species
CCUCGUCUAUUCUUGCUUUGAGUCAUUAUUUACUGAGCUUCUUUUGUCUUUCAUCCUAUCGAACGUUGACGUUGUUUGAAGAUUCUUGAUCGCCGCUGUAUUGAUUUGCCCUUAGGGACUGGAGAGUUUCGACAAGAGUUUUCUUCCUCGUUGAGAUGAGGUCCCUUGUGCCUUUGAUGUAGUUCAUUUUUCACUUAUCACUGGCAUAGUUCAUCGCUCUCUUUUCAUCUCUCCUUUUCUUCUGUGUUCGAGUGAGGGUCUUCCCUCUGCUCUUGACGGGGUCGUGAGAGUGUAGAGGGGCCAUUGAGGAGGCUUUCCUCUUUGUCCGGUCUUGAUCGAUCGAGCCUUUAUUUGUGUCAGGAUGAGGUUCUCCUCUUAUUUCCGACCGUCAGUUUCAGCUUAUGUUAGGAUGAGGUUCUCCUUCUGUUCCUAACAGAGUUGUGGGGGCAUGCAAAGGCCACUGCAAGGGCCUCUCCCCACAUCCGGUCUAUAAGUAACCGGGCCUUCGACUUUGCUCAUGUUAAGAUGAGGUUCUCCUCCUAUUCCUAACAAGGUUGUGGGGGCACA